rnacentral:misc_RNA from 1 species
GAUGAAGAACGCAGUGAAAUGCGAUAAGUAAUGUGAAUUGCAGAAUUCAGUGAAUCAUCGAAUCUUUGAACGCACAUUGCGCCCGCCAGUAUUCUGGCGGGCAUGCCUGUUCGAGCGUCAUUUCAACCAUCAAGCCCUGCUUGCGUUGGGGUCCUGCGGCUGCCCGCAGGCCCUGAAAACCAGUGGCGGGCUCGCUAGUCACACCGAGCGCAGUAAUACAUCUCGCUUUGGGCGUGCGGCGGGUUCUUGCCGUUAAACACCCCCUUUUUACCAAGGUUGACCUCGGAUCAGGUAGGAAUACCCGCUGAACUUAAGCAUAUCAAUAAGCGGAGGA